rnacentral:rRNA from 1 species
GACGAACGCUGGCGGCGUGCUUAACACAUGCAAGUCGAACGGAAAGGCCCUGCUUUUGUGGGGUGCUCGAGUGGCGAACGGGUGAGUAACACGUGAGUAACCUGCCCUUGACUUUGGGAUAACUUCAGGAAACUGGGGCUAAUACCGGAUAGGAGCUCCUGCUGCAUGGUGGGGGUUGGAAAGUUUCGGCGGUUGGGGAUGGACUCGCGGCUUAUCAGCUUGUUGGAGGGGUAGUGGCUUACCAAGGCUUUGACGGGUAGCCGGCCUGGGAGGGUGACCGGCCACAUUGGGACUGAGAUACGGCCCAGACUCCUACGGGAGGCAGCAGUGGGGAAUAGUGCACAAUGGGCGGAAGCCUGAUGCAGCAACGCCGCGUGCGGGAUGACGGCCUUCGGGUUGUAAACCGCUUUCGCCUGUGACGAAGCGUGAGUGACGGUAAUGGGUAAAGAAGCACCGGCUAACUACGUG